AGGUUUAUUGCCUGGCUAUAGACAGCCCGAGAAAGAAAGUUAGCUUCCCACCCCCGGCAGCUGCAGUGAUUGGAAAACGAGCCUGAGCCUUUUCACCGAAAAGAAUAUAUCAUUAUCCGUUGGGUUCGCCCUACUUCCCUGUUAAGAAUCACCUGAAGUGCCUAAAAAUCCGCGAGUUUCAGGGCUUUUCCCUGGAAAUAAUGAUUUAGAACGUCCUGGGGGAGGGCCUAGGAGUCUGUGGGUUUAAUAAGCACCUCCAGGAUUUGUGUCUUCGGACAUGAUUCGUGCUUGUGGACAAAACUGACCUCGGAGCUGAGUUCUAGAACCUGCUGCAAGAGUCUGCCUUUGGGAUCCAUGGGAGGGCUCACACCAAGGUCACAGUCUUCCCCAGGCUGCUCCCAGUCCACAGCACAUGGCAGGAGUACUGGAGCUGGGCCACUUCUGCUCAAGUCAAGCAUUGAAAAAUCCUGGAACUUUCAAUAUUUAUGUAGCCAAAGUGUCUCUCUUGCUCACUCACUUGCUUGCUUGUGUACCACUAAUUGAGCAACUACUAUGGGCCAGAUGCUCUGGAAAAUGUUGUUCUGAAGAGGAGUACUAAUCUUCACCAGUGGUGCACCUAGCUGUAUUUUGCACAUUAGGAAACAGACCCAGAGGCACACCUCCCAGAUGCAUCUUCCUCAUGGGGUUGUCGCAGGGUUUAAGAAAAUGAACUCAUAUAAAGGGCUCAGAAUAGUGUCUGGAUCACAGAACUCUGAAGAAUUUAUGUCAGUGAUUCUGAAGUGAGAAUGGAACAUGGAUCCAACCCCUCUAAGGCAGAAGAGAUGUGAGCAGAUUACCUUCUCUGUCCUUAAAAGGAGUGGCCCUGCAUUCCCUGAGAGGGCAUAGCUGGGGCAGUCAUCUGGACCCACCAGACAGGAGCUGAAGCUUGAUAAAAGGUGCCUGGUUCCAGUGACUAUGGAGCAGCCUGCCAGCACUAGAGGAGUCACAGAGAUGUCUAGAUGAGUCACAGAGACAUUUACAUGACAGAAAAAUAAACAACUAUGUUGUUUAAGCCAUUAUUAGUCAGUCUUUCAGUUCAAGCAGCUACACGUGUAUUUUAAUUAAUACCAAGACAGCUCUGUAAGUUUGAUCCAU
rnacentral:lncRNA from 1 species